CCUGAGGUCUAGCUGCAAUGAGAAACGAUGAGGAGAGAGAGAAGAGAGACUGGGGGCUGAUCAGCAAUCAAAGUGGUCCCGUCAACCAGGGAAUUCUGUCGAAACCACGGACCCUUCCCUUGGUGCUAUGCUAGGCUAUGCAACGAUCUGUUGGGUGACCUUUUGACGUCAGAGGCCUCCGGACUACCUCCUCGGAGCACCCAAUGCCUGUCUUUGCACUAUGCUAACGCCAUCACACUUUCAACGUUGGUCCUGUGAAAACCCACGAGGUUUGAUGGUGCACGGGCACACCAUCUAUUGCUUCACUUUUCCUUCUCUCCAGUCCUGUUCUGUUUCUCAGACUGUGACAAAACACAGUGGAUUCACAUCCUGGUGAGUGUGACAAAGCACAGUGGAUUCACAUCCUGGUGAGUGUGACAAAGCACAGUGGAUUCACAUCCUGUGUCCUUUCUUACCUACUGUCCCUACAGACAACUAUGGAUGUGCUUCCUGUCACGACAAGCCAAUUCGUGUUUUCUAGAACUAUAACCUCCUUCUAGCUGAUGGGACAAGAUGUUGCCCGACUCAAGAAUUGUAG